AUUGAACGCUGGCGGCAUGCCUUACACAUGCAAGUCGAACGGUAACAGGUCUUCGGAUGCUGACGAGUGGCGAACGGGUGAGUAAUACAUCGGAACGUGCCUAGUAGUGGGGGAUAACUACUCGAAAGAGUGGCUAAUACCGCAUGAGAUCUACGGAUGAAAGCAGGGGAUCGCAAGACCUUGUGCUACUAGAGCGGCCGAUGGCAGAUUAGGUAGUUGGUGGGAUAAAAGCUUACCAAGCCGACGAUCUGUAGCUGGUCUGAGAGGACGAUCAGCCACACUGGGACUGAGACACGGCCCAGACUCCUACGGGAGGCAGCAGUGGGGAAUUUUGGACGAUGGGCGAAAGCCUGAUCCAGCCAUGCCGCGUGCAGGAUGAAGGCCUUCGGGUUGUAAACUGCUUUUGUACGGAACGAAAAGACUCUGGUUAAAACCUGGGGUCCAUGACGGUACCGUAAGAAUAAGCACCGGCUAACUACGUGCCAGCCGCCGCAGUAA
rnacentral:rRNA from 1 species